CGCAUAAACAUAUCGAUAUAAACACAUCGUAUAUAUGCAUAUACAGUCCAUACACAACACGUAAACAUGUAUAGUAUACAUAUCUGUGAGUGUGUAUGAGUGUGAGUGUGAGUGUGUAUGAGUGUGAGUGUGAGUGUGAAUGUGUGUAAGUGUGUGUAUGAGUGUGAGUGGUGAGUGUGAGUGUAAGUGUGAGUGAGUGUGUGUAGUAUAUAAAUUAAUGUACAUAUACGUUAAUACUGUAUGAACUGAUACAUCAAUAUAUAUAUAGAAAUAUAUAUUUUAGCGCAUUGUAUUGAUAUAGUUAUGCACUUUACACAUAUACACAUAUCAGUA
rnacentral:lncRNA from 1 species